GGGGAGGAGGGGCGGGGCGUGCGGCGCGAGCCCCGGGAAACAUGGCUGCUCGUCCUAUUUCGGCGUCUCGGCAUGGCCACCAGCUCCCGGAGCCCAGUUGGGAGAGGUGCCGAAGAAGAUUCUUGACCUUCAUUGAUGCAGUGGCUCUUCGCUUCGCCCACAAUGAAGAGUUCUACAGUUUGUUUAAAGACAGUUUAAAGACGACCGCACUUAACUGAAACAAAACAAAACUUCUCGUGCCAGCUGACCCCCGCCCCCCACUUUGUCCACGGCUAAGAUGGCAGCAGAACGCUAUGUCACUAUAUGCAGAACCAAGAGAACCCGGAGCUAAAUGAAUUCCCACUGCAGGGUCAGCCGGCCCCAGUCUCACAUAUACGCCCUGAGCUACAGCCCCUGCAAAAGGUGUCUGCUCCACAGCCUCAGUGCCAAGCAAGGAGCAUCAAGAGUUUGUCUCGUUUGUUUUGUUCGUUUUACAAGCUAUUGCUAUAUACAGUUGAUAACUCAGGAUUUCUAGCCAAUAACCAUACAGUUAACACCACUUUACCAAAAAAAAAAAAAAAAAAAAAAAAA